rnacentral:rRNA from 1 species
GAUGAACGCUAGCGGGAGGCCUAACACAUGCAAGCCGAGCGGUAUAGAAUCUUCGGAUUUUAGAGAGCGGCGUACGGUGCGGAACACGUGUGCAACCUACCUUUAUCUGGAGGAUAGCCUUUCGAAAGGAAGAUUAAUACUCCAUAAUAUAUUGAUUGGCAUCAAUUAAUAUUGAAAGCUCCGGCGGAUAGAGAUGGGCACGCGCAAGAUUAGUUAGUUGGUGAGGUAACGGCUCACCAAGACGAUGAUCUUUAGGGGGCCUGAGAGGUGAUCCCCCACACUGGUACUGAGACACGGGCCAGACUCCUACGGGAGGCAGCAGUGAGGAAUAUUGGACAAUGGGUGCAAGCCUGAUCCAGCCAUCCCGCGUGAAGGACGACUGCCCUAUGGGUUGUAAACUUCUUUUGUAUAGGGAUAAACCUCUCCUCGUGAGGAGAGCUGAAGGUACUAUACGAAUAAGCACCGGCUAACUCCGUGCCAGCAGCCGCGGUAAU